rnacentral:rRNA from 1 species
GACGAACGCUGGCGGCGUGCUUAAUACAUGCAAGUCGAACGGGCCGAGUUCUUUAGUUUACUGUUCGGAAGGGUUACUGGCGGACGGCUGAGUAACGCGUGGGCACUCUGACUCUAAUUCCGUGCUAAUAGCGCGAAAGUUCUGGUAAGACCGGAUACUCCUUACUAGCCGCAUGGUCGCUAAUGGAAAGGGAACUCUUAGGGAUGAGCCUUCGUCCCAUUAGCUAGUUGGUGUGGUAACGGCACACAAAGGCAAAGAUGGGUAGCCGGCCUGAGCGCGUGGACGGCCACACGGGGACUGAGACACGGCACAGACUCCCACGGGAGGGAGGAGUAGGGAAUUUUCGAAAAGGCGAGAAAGUCAGACAGAGCAACGGCGCGUGAGGGAAGAAGGUCUUCGGAUCGUAAACCUUUGUCAUCGAGGACGAUAAUGACGGUACUCGAGGAAGAAGCACCGGCUAACUCCGUG